ACAGCAGUAGCCGCGGGAAUACAGAGGGUGCGAGCGUUAAUCGGAUUUACUGGGCGUAAAGCGUGCGUAGGCGGCUUUUUAAGUCGGAUGUGAAAUCCCUGAGCUUAACUUAGGAAUUGCAUUCGAUACUGGGAAGCUAGAGUAUGGGAGAGGAUGGUAGAAUUCCAGGUGUAGCGGUGAAAUGCGUAGAGAUCUGGAGGAAUACCGAUGGCGAAGGCAGCCAUCUGGCCUAAUACUGACGCUGAGGUACGAAAGCAUGGGGAGCAAACAGGAUUAGAGACCCCAGUAGUCCCUGUCUCUUAUAC
rnacentral:rRNA from 1 species